CACGCAACAGACAGCACAGCAGCGAGCAACACGGCGCCGCCACGCUCCGCCUUGAGAGUGAGCGACUAUGUGAACCUGUUAUGGGUUGCUUUCCCAGCGGUGGCGUCAGUAACACAAAGGAGGAAGAGACGAGACGCAGCCCGGCGCUGGAGCUGUGGCGGCUGGAGCAGCGCGUGCGCACAGCGGAGGCGGCGGGGCCGGCAGCGGCGCUGGGGCAGG